GACGAACGCUGGCGGCGUGCCUAAUACAUGCAAGUUGAGCGCUGAAGGUUGGUACUUGUACCAACUGGAUGAGCAGCGAACGGGUGAGUAACGCGUGGGGAAUCUGCCUUUGAGCGGGGGACAACAUUUGGAAACGAAUGCUAAUACCGCAUAAAAACUUUAAACACAAGUUUUAAGUUUGAAAGAUGCAAUUGCAUCACUCAAAGAUGAUCCCGCGUUGUAUUAGCUAGUUGGUGAGGUAAAGGCUCACCAAGGCGAUGAUACAUAGCCGACCUGAGAGGGUGAUCGGCCACAUUGGGACUGAGACACGGCCCAAACUCCUACGGGAGGCAGCAGUAGGGAAUCUUCGGCAAUAGACGAAAGUCUGACCGAGCAACGCCGCGUGAGUGAAGAAGGGUUUCGGAUCGUAAAACUCGGUUGGUAGAGAAGAACGUUGGUGAGAGUGGAAAGCUCAUCAAGUGACGGUAACUACCCAGAAAGGGACGGCUAACUAGGUG
rnacentral:rRNA from 1 species